UGGGGAAUUUUGCACAAUGGGGGAAACCCUGAUGCAGCGACGCCGCGUGAUUUAGAAGGCCUUCGGGUUGUAAAAAUCUUUUCUAUGGGAAGAAAAUGACAGUACCAUAGGAAUAAGGACCGGCUAAUUACGUGCCAGCAGCCGCGGUAAUACGUAAGGUCCGAGCGUUGUCCGGAAUCAUUGGGCGUAAAGGGUACGCAGGCGGUUUAAUAAGUCGAAUGUUAAAGAUCGGGGCUCAACCCCGUAAAGCAUUGGAAACUGAUAAACUUGAGUAGUGGAGAGGAAAGUGGAAUUCCUAGUGUAAUGGUGAAAUACGUAGAUAUUAGGAGGAAUACCAGUAGCGAAGGCGACUUUCUGGACACAAACUGACGCUGAGGUACGAAAGCGUGGGGAGCAAACAGG
rnacentral:rRNA from 1 species